UACGAAGGGGGCGAGCGUUGUUCGGAUUUACUGGGCGUAAAGGGCGCGUAGGCGGCCCUCCUUGUCGCGUGUGAAAACCCAGGGCUCAACCCUGGGCCUGCAUUCGAUACGGGCAGACUAGAGUAUGGCAGGGGAGACUGGAAUUCCUGGUGUAGCGGUGAAAUGCGCAGAUAUCAGGAGGAACACCGGUGGCGAAGGCGGGUCUCUGGGCCAAAACUGACGCUGAGGAGCGAAAGCGUGGGGAGCGAACAGG
rnacentral:rRNA from 1 species